GUGUGUGUGUGUGUGUGUGUGUGUGUGUGUGUGUGUGUGUGUGUUGCAGUAAGGACACAAUAUUAAAGAAUGUCUAAUGGAUUUUGUUUUCUCUUUGUAGCUGUUGGAUCAUCAUUUUGAUUUUACGUUGCUGUGAAUAUCGUGCUCUGUCAUACAACAUGGUUGCACUUUUUUGCAGAUCCUUCCUACUUUUUCUGAUCCCCCCUCCCUCUCAAACCAAUUCCAUACUGGACAUUUAAGGACGUUUUUUCUCGGGGCAUUAUUUGAUUUUCCCAAGACAAGGUACAGACAUUUUGGACUGGAAAUUGUUACUGGUUUGUAUUCGGGGGAAAAAGUAGUUUUGUUUGUUUGUUCUCCUUGUAGUCCACUCGCUGUAACCGUUGGUCCAACAAGUAAACUCAUAUUUCCUUAUAGAUGUUAUCACACACAUGUUAAUAUCUGAAAAACGCUCUGAAUUACACACACACACAGACGCUACAAAGACACACAACACAUACUGGACCUCCUCACCACGAUGAAUGAAACUUCCACAUCUUUCCCCCUCCAUGUAACUGUGACCAUUAUGUUAUAUGUUUAAUACUGUAAAUAUGUAUUUGAAAAUGCUAAAUCUAUUUUUAUAAUUUGUUUGAAGAACAAUGUGUUGAAUAUAAUAUAUGCUCACUGUGUAAGGGUUUUAUUUGUUUGAAUUUAGGGCCACAGCCAAGAAACUCUGGUUUUUGGAAUACAUAACUGGGAGGAAAAAAAAUCUUUUUGUUUUUUGAUGAUUUUUACCUGUUAAAAGAAAAUCAGAUGGCUGUUGCAAUAUUGAAAGUGUUAUUAAAAAAUCUCCAAUACAGGCAAAUGUUUUUUCCUCCUUGUCUUCUAUUUUAGAAUGCAGUGUAGAACUUCACUGCUGCCCAACCAAUACUCUGUAUUUAGGGGUUGCAAUCAGAAUUAACUGAAGAUACAGAGAGGCAUAUUUUGAUCACUUGAUCACUUCUACUGGAUAACUAAUUUAAUGGCAAUGUUUAUAAAUCACAUCAAACACAAAUCUGCACUGAUAUUUCCUUCAUAUAUUCAUGAAUAUAUUUAUUCAUGCUGCAUUUGACAUAUAAAUGCCUAUCUACAAAAGAAUCAUCCAACAUAUGUCGGUCUAGUACUAUGACAUCACAAUGCACAAAAAUAAUCGUUUAUUAAACUUUUAUGGCAAGGCCCUUUCAAUAAAAUGCUGUAUUAUAAGUUUUGUUUUAUGUUUUGAAAUGUAUUUGAAGAAAAAAACGGGCUGUCAACAUAAAUGCGAUUAAUGUUGCUGAGAUUAAUGCGACUAAAUAUUUUAACGUUAACGUACUUUUGUUUACUUCCGGGAGUAAACCGGAAGUUGACUGCGGAAACGGCCGCUAGUUGCAGUCGGCACAUCCGAGGAGGGCACAUCCGAGAGAGCAAGUCGGCAGCUUAAGACGGAUGGAGCCUUUUGCAUUGGAAGUAAAACAAUCCGAGGCGCGACAUACAGCGGAUAACUGUGCAGAGGAAUUCAUCCACGUGUCAAACAGGAGGGAGAUAACGGUUGCAGGACCUGAGGGAACCAGGCCUCUUGAACCUCAAGCUUGGAGGCCAGAACCAAUCUGCUCCAGGACUGUGUGUUUUCCCAAAAACACCCGUGACACCGUUCUCUCUCUUCAAUCGAUCCAGCUCAGCCCCAGUGUCUCGGCGAUGAAGGAGAAGAUGUGCGUGUCCUCCAAGAUG